AUUGAACGCUGGCGGAAUGCUUUACACAUGCAAGUCGAGCGGCAGCGCGGGGGCAACCCUGGCGGCGAGCGGCGAACGGGUGAGUAACAUAUCGGAACGUACCCCGUCGUGGGGGAUAACACAGCGAAAGCUGUGCUAAUACCGCAUACGACCUGAGGGUGAAAGCGGGGGAUCGCAAGACCUCGCGCGAUGGGAGCGGCCGAUAUCGGAUUAGCUUGUUGGUGAGGUAAAGGCUCACCAAGGCGACGAUCCGUAGCUGGUCUGAGAGGACGACCAGCCACACUGGAACUGAGACACGGUCCAGACUCCUACGGGGGGCAGCAGUGGGGAAUUUUGGACAAUGGGGGGCAACCCUGAUCCAGCCAUUCCGCGUGAGUGAAGAAGGCCU
rnacentral:rRNA from 1 species